rnacentral:lncRNA from 1 species
AUAUUCAUAUGUAUAUGUAUAGGCAACUACAUGCUCCAUUUUUUAAUAAAAAAUUACUCAAGUAUUUGCUAACUCUUACUAUUAACAGACAUAUAUAUAUGUAUAUUUUUUUUUUUUUUUUUUUUUUUUUUUUUAUACAUAACAUUAAAUAGAAUGAAUUGUUAGAAAGAUUAUUAAAACAUGAAGAAAAUAGUUUAAGCCAAGUAAAGUCGUACGUAAAAGAUAGUAAUAAUAAUUCUAACCACAAUACAAGCAAUUCUUUGUCAGAAAAAAACAUAUCAAAUAAAAAUAUAAAUUUAAAAGAAAAAACAGAAGAUUCUUGUACAAAAGAAUUUGAAGAAAACCAUAAGAAUACAAAUUAUAUAGAAGGUGAAAAAAAAAAAAAUAAAAUAUCAUUGAAUAAUAAAGAAGAAUUUAACAAAAGUGGGUUAAGCAGAAUGAAAGGGUUAUUAAAAAAUAUAUUAACCAGUAAUAGUAAUACAAAAAAUUUAAAAGAAUAUGAACAUUCUGAAUUGGAAAAUGAUAGUACAAUGAAAAAAAACCAAAAUAUGAAUAAUAACCGAGAAGGAAACAAAAAUAUAGAAAAUGAUAAUGAAGAAAGUAGUAAAAAAAAAAUGGCUAUACCAGAAAUAACAUUCUCGAAAGAAUCUAUAUAUAAUCAAAGCACUUUACAAAAAAAUACUACUCUAAAUGAUAAUACUUUUUUAACAGAAGAGAAAAAAAAAGAAAUAAGAAAAAAGCGAUUUGGUAAUUAUUACAAAUUGGCUUAUUCAUUUAUGCAUUUUUCUUUUUUUGGUUUCACUUUCCAUAUAUAUAUAUACACAUACAUUAUCUUUUGA